rnacentral:rRNA from 1 species
UACGAAGGGGGCUAGCGUUGCUCGGAAUCACUGGGCGUAAAGGGUGCGUAGGCGGGUCUUUAAGUCAGGGGUGAAAUCCUGGAGCUCAACUCCAGAACUGCCUUUGAUACUGAAGAUCUUGAGUUCGUGAGAGGUGAGUGGAACUGCGAGUGUAGAGGUGAAAUUCGUAGAUAUUCGCAAGAACACCAGUGGCGAAGGCGGCUCACUGGCCCGAUACUGACGCUGAGGCACGAAAGCGUGGGGAGCAAACAGG